GAUAGCCAGUUAUAUUUGAGUUUUGGAUAAUCAAUGAAUUAUUUUUCAGUGUAAGUAUAUCCCAUGCAAUAUUUGAGACAUACUUAUACUAAAAAUAAUUCAUUGCUUAUCCAAAACUCACAUUUAACUGAGUGUCCUGUA
rnacentral:miRNA from 1 species